rnacentral:rRNA from 1 species
CCAGACUCCUACGGGAGGCAGCAGUGGGGAAUAUUGCACAAUGGGGGAAACCCUGAUGCAGCGACGCCGCGUGAAGGAUGAAGUAUUUCGGUAUGUAAACUUCUAUCAGCAGGGAAGAAAAUGACGGUACCUGACUAAGAAGCCCCGGCUAACUACGUGCCAGCAGCCGCGGUAAUACGUAGGGGGCAAGCGUUAUCCGGAUUUACUGGGUGUAAAGGGAGCGUAGACGGCAUGGCAAGUCUGAUGUGAAAACCCGGGGCUCAACCCCGGGACUGCAUUGGAAACUGUGUUGCUGGAGUGCUGGAGAGGCAAGCGGAAUUCCUAGUGUAGCGGUGAAAUGCGUAGAUAUUAGGAAGAACACCAGUGGCGAAGGCGGCUUGCUGGACAGUAACUGACGUUGAGGCUCGAAAGCGUGGGGAGCAAACAGGAUUAGAUACCCGCGUAA